CAAUGUCUUGCCUCAGUACGGCGAGUGAAGCGGCAACAGCUCAAAUUUGAAAUCUGGCCCCAGGCCCGAGUUGUAAUUUGCAGAGGAUGUUUCUGGCGAGGUGCCUUCCGAGUUCCCUGGAACGGGACGCCAUAGAGGGUGAGAGCCCCGUACGGUUGGUCGCUAAGCCUCUGUGAAACUCCUUCGACGAGUCGAGUAGUUUGGGAAUGCUGCUCUAAAUGGGAGGUAUACGUCUUCUAAAGCUAAAUACCGGCCAGAGACCGAUAGCGCACAAGUAGAGUGAUCGAAAGAUGAAAAGCACUUUGAAAAGAGGGUUAAAUAGUACGUGAAAUUGUUGAAAGGGAAGCGCUUAUGACCAGACUUGGACCGGUUGAUCAUCCAUCGUUCUCGGUGGUGCACUCUGCCGGUUCAGGCCAGCAUCAGUUUGUCCCGGGGGAUAAAGGCUUUGGGAAUGUGGCUCCUCCGGGAGUGUUAUAGCCCACUGUGUAAUACCCUGGGAUAGACUGAGGUUCGCGCUCCGCAAGGAUGCUGGCGUAAUGGUCAUCAGCGACCCGCUGAAAAAGGGGGGGCAAAAAACAAUAAAAGAAGGGGGGGGCAAAAAAGAUUCGGGACA
rnacentral:rRNA from 1 species